rnacentral:rRNA from 1 species
CUCGCAUCGAUGAAGAACGCAGCGAAAUGCGAUAAGUAAUGUGAAUUGCAGAAUUCAGUGAAUCAUCGAAUCUUUGAACGCACCUUGCGCUCCCUGGUAUUCCGGGGAGCACGCCCGUUUGAGUGUCAUGGUAUUCUCAACCUUCAUAACUUUGUUGUUAUCGAAGGCUUGGAUGUGGAGGUCGUGCUGGCUCUCACGAGUCAGCUCCUCUGAAAUGCAUUAGCGUGAACGUUUACGGAUCGCUAUCAGUGUGAUAAUUAUCUGCGCUGUUAGUGUUGAAGUAUGUGUAGUGUCGCGCUUCUAACCGUCCUUCAGUUGGACAACUUAUCUGACAUCUGGCCUCAAAUCGGGCGGGACUACCCGCUGAACUUAAGCAUAUCAAUAAGCGGAGGAAAAGAAACUAACAAGGAUUCCCCUAGUAACUGCGAGUGAAGCGGGAAAAGCUCAAAUUUAAAAUCUGGCAGCCUUUGGUUGUCCGAGUUGUAGUCUGGAGAAGCGUCUUCCGCGC